UACGAAGGGGGCUAGCGUUGCUCGGAAUCACUGGGCGUAAAGCGCACGUAGGCGGAUUGCUAAGUCAGGGGUGAAAUCCUGGAGCUCAACUCCAGAACUGCCCUUGAUACUGGCGGUCUCGAGUCCGGGAGAGGUGAGUGGAACUGCGAGUGUAGAGGUGAAAUUCGUAGAUAUUCGCAAGAACACCAGUGGCGAAGGCGGCUCACUGGCCCGGUACUGACGCUGAGGUGCGAAAGCGUGGGGAGCAAACAGA
rnacentral:rRNA from 1 species